rnacentral:misc_RNA from 1 species
AUUGAAAGAACCUAAUCAAUUGCCGGUUGUUUCGCUCAUACACUCACCCGACUCAUCACCAUGCUCUUUGCCCAAGAUGCGGUUCAACUCCAGAACCCACUUCUUGAAACCGGGUUCACUGCUAGUGAAAUUCAAGAACUCUUAUCCAUAUCUGACUUGCCCACCCCUAGCCCAAACUCUGGUUUGGAGGGGUCGAAUUCCAACUCAAACUCGAACUCAAACCGGGUGAUAUACUCAGUGGAUGAGAGAAAGCGAAGGCGCAUGAUAUC